rnacentral:tRNA from 1 species
GGCUUCGUAAUUCAAUUGGAUAGAAUGUUAGAUUGCGGAUCUAAAAAUGAAAGUUCAAGUCUUUCCGUGGCCA